rnacentral:lncRNA from 1 species
UUAAUUGUUUUGUUCAAAGAGUAUGAAGCAGGCUAUUAGUCUGGGGUCAUGACUCCAAGGUUCACUUCAGGUUAUUACCUAAGAGAGUUUUUGAACAAGAGUGGCUGAUUGAUUCUUUCCCACUGUUAUCCUCAUUAAUUAACAAAGACGCAUUGUGUUGGUGCUAAUUUGCAGAAUCUGGAAUGAAAUGUAAAACAGAUUCAGGCUGAUAAGAAUUGUUUUGUAUCUGCUAUUCUAUCUUGUUCCUUCCCCUCAUUUUUCCUUCUAAAGAUUUUGAGGUACAUGAAUUUCCAGCCUGAUUAUAAUUAACUCUUUUUCCACAUGACAAAUACUGUCUCUAAUGAUUAAGCGAUGAGCAGGAAGUAGGUCUUUGACAUUUAUUUUCCAAUGCAGCAUAAACUUGGCUCUCCUAUUACUCUCCCUAUGACCAAGAAAAAGUCAUCUAAGCUUUGCUGCUCAGAUCCCCCUUCUGGAAAAUAUGGAUAAUAAAAUGCAGAUCUGAACACUUUACCUCCCUCUCUCCACUGACAUUUUUAAAUGGCUCCCAUGGCCUGCAACACAAGAUUCAAGCUCGAUGUUUUAGAAGCCUUGAUGGUUUGGCUUCAAUUUUCUUUCCUGGUCUCAUAUUCCGCCAUUGUCCAGAGUGAUUCAAUCUGAUACCACAGCUUCACCCGAUUGCCUGGCAGCUUAGCAAGGCUUGAGAGAAGAAGCUAGCAUGAAGAUGAGGACUGCCUGGAGGUGACGAGGAGAUGAAAAUAAAAGGUGCCAUCAGACCCA